GCUCUUUCUACCACAACAGGUUACUUUGCACUCGGGGACAGUUUUCAACUUUACAUUCUCAACUCCUAUCCUAGCUCCUGGCACAGAACAUGUCAUUCAAGUUAGGCAUCAUUUGUCCCCUGCUCUUGGUAAAGUUUUCUUUUGCGGACUGCAGAGAAAUGCGCUCAUUAGCAAGUGGAGAUCGAGACGCUGAAACGCAAAGGAUUUGAGACUGAGCGGCUCCCAUCUCUAUGGUUGGUAUGUGAUCCAUCUAUCCUCUGGAGGAUUCAGCAAGGACUAUCAAUCACCAGACAACUUUACUGCACGUGCUCGCAAGUUGAACUUGCUAUUGGUUAGUGGCAGUAAAGCCCGCCUACCAGCUCUGGUCGGCUCCUUUAAGAGAAAGCCAUCGCCAUUCUUCAGCCUUUCACCGCCUACAGAUUCCGGGAGCUCCCAGCCGAGGACGUCGGGUCUUAUCGUCCUUGCUGUUUUGCCACCCCAUUCCUCUCAAUAAAGUGGUUUGAACCCAA